UGUGUGUACAGAACGGGUACGGUCCGGGGCCCUGCUCCUCUCUCUGUGUGUACAGAGCAGGUCUGGCCCGGGGCCCUGCUCUCUCUGUGUGUACAGAGCAGGUCUGGCCCGGGGCCCUGCUCUCUCUGUGUGUACAGAGCGGGUACGGUCCGGGGCCCUGCUCUCUCCGUGUGUACAGAGCGGGUCUGGCCUGGGGCCCUGCUCUCUCCGUGUGUACAGAGCUGGUCUGGCCUGGGGCCCUGCUCUCUCUGUGUGUACAGAGCUGGUCUGGCCUGGGGCCCUGCUCUCUCUGUGUGUACAGAGCGGGUCUGGCCCGGGGCCCUGCUCUCUGUGUGUACAGAGUGGUGGUAUAUUUAUUUUGGAAGGUUCAUUUUGUUUUAUAAUUUUAUAUGUUUAAAGGUUUGUUUUUUUCUUUUGUAAUGAAUAAAAUCUAUUAUCGAUGAGGUU